CGUUCAUGCCCUCCAGCAUGUAGUAAAGGGUUAGGGCUGGGAGUUGAGGUGCUUAUUAGGGGAAUAGCAAGUGCAAAGGUCCUGGGGUAUCCAAAGCUUGGCCCUUUAUACCAGAGAGUAGUCUUACGUAUCUGGAGUUUGGUGAGUAGAUGGAGAAUGGGAGCAGAUGGGGAGAGGUGGCAGGGCCUAAGCCUUGGAGACCAGGACAAGAAACUUUGAUUUCACGCUAAGUGUAAUGGGAAGCCACUUAAGGGUUUUAGCCACAGACUAGCAUGAUCUGAUUUAGAGUUUAGAUCUUAAAAAGGCCACUUUGCUGCCAUAUAGAGGAUGGAUUGUAGGAUUGUGUGAGACGAUCAAUACACAAAAGCACUUAACAUUGGGUCUGGAACAAAGUAAGUGUCUUAAUAAGUGGUAACUGUUUUUCAUUAUUAUCAUCGUUAUCCUUAUUAUUACUACUACUCUUUUGUCUGCCUAGAGCUGGCUCACAAUUCUUGGACAUUUGACUUCAUGUAAAAUUGACAAAGCAUUCCAAUGAGCCCAUGAAUUUUUCAGAUUUGUUUUCCAGGUGUUUUCACAUCCUCAGAGGGAUGAUGGUUGAAAGCAAAACUCAAGCUGAUACCUGCAGCAGAAAAAAACAAACCAGUGGACACAUUCCUGAAUCCAUGAUUCUUUCAUCCUUCAGGGGCUCCCGACCCGUGCAAUUCGAAUCAUCUCUGAUUUAUAGAGGAGGAAACCGAAGCUCAGAAAAAGUAAGUUACUUGUCCAGGAGCAGUUAUCUGGGAUCUGAAUUUGGGUCAGCCUGUCUUCAGAGUCCAAGCCCUUAACCUCUUCAUGACUAUA
rnacentral:lncRNA from 1 species